UGUAAAAAAAAAGUUAACACUAUAGUAUCAUUUUUGAUGAAACAAAUAACAUGCGUAAUAUAUCACAAAUGAGUCUCACACUUAGAUACAUUGAUACCAAUAAUAAAGUUCAUGAAAAAUUUAUCAUCUUGAUUGCCAUGAAUAUGUACACAAAGCAAGUAUGAUGAAACAGUUAAUAGCAUUGAUGAAGAACAUAAUAUUAAACCUAGUAAAAAACUAGAACCAAAAUUAUCUGGUGAAAUAUUAGGGAAUACUGUUGUAUCUAUACUAAAAGAAAUGUCUUUAGAACUGGAUUACUGUGUAAGAAUUGGCACAGAUGGUUGUUCUGUGAUGACAUUAACCAUACGAAGUGCAAUUCAACAAAUUAAAAACUCUACACAUUAUGUUGUUCAUAGUCCAUGUUCUAAUCAUUCUCUCAAUCUAUAUUGUUAAUUUAUGAUGAUAAAAAAUAAAAAAAAAAAUCUAUAUCAAAAUCAUCAAAUGUACAAUUAAUAAGAAAUAGUGUAGGAAUAAUAGUAGCAAGAUAUACCUUUUUUUAAUAGUCAC